AACGAACGCUGGCGGCAUGCCUAACACAUGCAAGUCGAACGAGACCUUCGGGUCUAGUGGCGCACGGGUGCGUAACGCGUGGGAACCUGCCCUUAGGUUCGGAAUAACUCCCCGAAAGGGGUGCUAAUACCGGAUAAUGUCUUCGGACCAAAGAUUUAUUGCCUUUGGAUGGGCCCGCGUUGGAUUAGCUGGUUGGUAGGGUAAGAGCCUACCAAGGCGACGAUCCAUAGCUGGUCUGAGAGGAUGAUCAGCCACACUGGGACUGAGACACGGCCCAGACUCCUACGGGAGGCAGCAGUGGGGAAUAUUGGACAAUGGGCGAAGGCCUGAUCCAGCAAUGCCGCGUGAGUGAUGAAGGCCUUAGGGUUGUAAAGCUCUUUUACCCGGGAUGAUAAUGACAGUACCGGGAGAAUAAGCUCCGGCUAACUCCGUG
rnacentral:rRNA from 1 species